GAUGAACGCUGGCGGCGUGCCUAACACAUGCAAGUCGAACGGAGAUUACGGACGGAAGUUUUCGGAUGGAGGCCUGUAAUUCUUAGUGGCGGACGGGUGAGUAACGCGUGGGCAACCUGCCCUAUACAGGGGGAUAGCAGCUGGAAACGGCUGGUAAGACCGCAUAAGUCGGUUAAAUCGCAUGAUUUGAUCGGGAAAUGAGCAAUCAGGUAUAGGAUGGGCCCGCGUCCGAUUAGCCAGUUGGCAGGGUAAAAGCCUACCAAAGCGACGAUCGGUAGCCGGACUGAGAGGUCGGACGGCCACAUUGGGACUGAGACACGGCCCAAACUCCUACGGGAGGCAGCAGUGGGGGAUAUUGCACAAUGGAGGAAACUCUGAUGCAGCGACGCCGCGUGAGUGAAGAAGUAUUUCGGUAUGUAAAGCUCUAUCAGCAGGGAAGAUGAUGACGGUACCUGACUAAGAAGCCCCGGCUAACUACGUG
rnacentral:rRNA from 1 species